GUGUGUAUAGCUCAGCAGUAGAGCACAUGCUUAGCAUGCGUGAGGUCCUGGGUUCAAUCCCCAGUACCUCCA
rnacentral:tRNA from 1 species